AGGAGGACAUGAGGAAAACUCCCCUCGCAGGGAGGUACUUCAUACCGAACGACGUGACAGUUGCUGGUCAAUGAGUGGAAUAGGUUUCAGGUCAUUAGGGCUAGGUUCCGGGUCACAGCUUUGUACCAAUGGAAAUGCAGCAGAGCGCUGGGUUAUGCAAAGCAGGACUGAGGCUGUUGCCGCUGGUAACCUUAAUGAGCACAUUGCCGUGGCGCUGACAAGGCUGCAGGAGGACAUGACUAACAUGCUUCAGAGGGUGAACACUCUGGAGGCCCUGACCACAUUACAGGUGGUCGACGGGUAGCUUGUACAUCUGUAGGUGAACAAUGAAGGAAGGCAAGGUGAAAGUUUGUACAAGAGGGCUUUAUAAAC